rnacentral:rRNA from 1 species
GACAGCAGCCGCCGCGGUAACACGAAGGGGGCUAGCGUUGUUCGGAUUUACUGGGCGUAAAGCGCACGUAGGCGGAUCGAUCAGUCAGGGGUGAAAUCCCAGAGCUCAACUCUGGAACUGCCUUUGAUACUGUCGAUCUGGAGUAUGGAAGAGGUGAGUGGAAUUCCGAGUGUAGAGGUGAAAUUCGUAGAUAUUCGGAGGAACACCAGUGGCGAAGGCGGCUCACUGGUCCAUUACUGACGCUGAGGUGCGAAAGCGUGGGGAGCAAACAGGAUUAGAUACCCCCGUAGUCCCUGUCUCUUAUAC